UGGUUGAUCCUGCCAGACCUGACUGCUAUCGGAUUGAUACUAAGCCAUGCGAGUCAUUGUAGCAAUACAAGGCAUACGGCUCAGUAACGCGUAGUCAACCUAACCUAUGGACGGGAAUAACCUCGGGAAACUGAGAAUAAUGCCCGAUAGAACAUUAUGCCUGGAAUGGUUUAUGUUCCAAAUGAUUUAUCGCCGUAGGAUGGGACUGCGGCCUAUCAGUUUGUUGGUGAGGUAAUGGCCCACCAAGACUAUUACAGGCACGGGCUCUGAGAGGAGUAGCCCGGAGAUGGGUACUGAGACACGGACCCAGGCCCUAUGGGGCGCAGCAGGCGAGAAAACUUUGCAAUGUGCGAAAGCACGACAAGGUUAAUCCGAGUGGUUUCUGCUAAAGAAACCUUUUGUCAGUCCUAGAAACACUGAUGAAUAAGGGGUGGGCAAGUUCUGGUGUCAGCCGCCGCGGUAAAACCAGCACCUCAAGUGGUCAGGAUGAUUAUUGGGCCUAAAGCAUCCGUAGCCGGCUCUGUAAGUUUUCGGUUAAAUCUGUACGCUCAACGUACAGGCUGCCGGGAAUACUGCAGAGCUAGGGAGUGGGAGAGGUAGACGGUACUCGGUAGGAAGGGGUAAAAUCCUUUGAUCUAUUGAUGACCACCUGUGGCGAAGGCGGUCUACCAGAACACGUCCGACGGUGAGGGAUGAAAGCUGGGGGAGCAAACCGGAUUAGAUACCCGGGUAGUCCCAGCUGUAAACUAUGCAAACUCAGUGAUGCAUUGGCUUGUGGCCAAUGCAGUGCUGCAGGGGAAGCCGUUAAGUUUGCCGCCUGGGAAGUACGUACGCAAGUAUGAAACUUAAAGGAAUUGGCGGGGGAGCACCACAAGGGGUGAAGCCUGCGGUCAAUUGGAUUCAACGCCGGA
rnacentral:rRNA from 1 species